GUUGAUUAGGUGUUUUGCAUAUUAAUUUUUCGUGUUAGGGGAGAGUUUAUUUAUUUACUCAGUCAAUG
rnacentral:tRNA from 1 species